rnacentral:rRNA from 1 species
GGGCUUGACAUCCCACGAACCUGCCCGAAAGGGUUGGGUGCCCGCAAGGGAGCGUGGAGACAGGUGGUGCAUGGCUGUCGUCAGCUCGUGUCGUGAGAUGUUGGGUUAAGUCCCGCAACGAGCGCAACCCUCACCCCUUGUUGCCACCGGGUAAAGCCGAGCACUCUAGGGGAACUGCCAGCGUCAAGCUGGAGGAAGGCGAGGAUGACGUCAAGUCAUCAUGCCCCUUACGCCCUGGGCUACACACGUGCUACAAUGGCCGGCACAAAGGGAUGCAAGACCGCGAGGUGGAGCUAACCCCAAAAAACCGGUCUAAGUUCAGAUUGCAGUCUGCAACUCGACUGCAUGAAGGAGGAAUCGCUAGUAAUCGCGCAUCAGCACGGCGCGGUGAAUACGUUCCCGGGCCUUGUACACACCGCCCGUCACACCACGAAGGCCGGCUGUACUCGAAGUCGCUGAGA